rnacentral:lncRNA from 1 species
CAAUAUCCAUCAAACUAACUCUUGAGACUCUUCUAGACACUUCUUGGAAAAAGAAAAAAAAAAAAAAAACUCUAAAGACCUAAGAGUAAAAAAUACACAAUAUAUACACCCUAGACGUAAACUCUAAGAGGAUAUAGACACAAAAAAUAUAACUCAAAAGAAGAGGAGAUCAGCGCCGUUUUCAGCAAGUGAGGAGAUCACCCCAAACGAGCCAAUCGAUUCAUCUUCUUCACCCAUUUUCAAAAUAAGAACACCUCUUCCAUCCAUCUCUAAAGCUACAAUUCCCAAAACAAUCAAACCAACAAACCUUCCAUUCAAAAAAACCCAUUCACACUUGACAAAAGCAGAACAUACAAAAUGGAUCCGCCAACCUAGACACUAGAGAACAAAAUAGCAAAACCCCCUUUCUUUGAUCGGAAAUUGCCGCAUAACAAUCCUAUGUUUCAAUCACGUGUAACCAGAAUUAUACCAUUGCAAAAAUUCCCCAAAUCAGAACGAAAAUCAGCUUGAAGGCACCAUCCAAACUUAGUAGAGAUGAGUUCUUUUGGGGGCGUUGAUUUCGGUCCAAGCUCCUAGUCCGUCUUCAGGAUUACUGUUCUAGGGCUUCUAUUUUCAUUGUAUCCGCUCGAUAAUUUCAGCAAUAGAAGGACUGUUCUUCUAUCUUUGACUGGUCAUUUUAUGUAUGGGUCUCGUUAUUUGUUGGUAUAAAUGAAUUGAGGCAUAAAGCUUUACUUUGCUUUAUUGAUGCUUGGUCUUGUUUCUUUAUUUCCUGGGUUAAUGUUUGAAGUUAAUCAUAUUUUAGUUUGAUGAAUCUCGAAUGGGAUCAUAUAUUGAAUAAAAU